UACGUAGGGUCCGAGCGUUGUCCGGAAUUAUUGGGCGUAAAGAGCUCGUAGGCGGCUUGUCGCGUCGACUGUGAAAAACCCGCGGCUCAACUGUGGGCUUGCAGUCGAUACGGGCAGGCUGGAGUUCGGUAGGGGGAGACUGGAAUUCCUGGUGUAGCGGUGAAAAUGCGCAGAUAUCAGGAGGAACACCGGUGGCGAAAGGCGGGGUCUCUGGGGCCGAUACUGACGUGAGGAGCGAAAAGCGUGGGGGGAGC
rnacentral:rRNA from 1 species